UGUAAUAUCAGUAUUGCUAUUAUUAAGGGUAUUAUUAUUAGUGUUUUAUUUAAAAGUCUGUAUUAAGAGUAUGUAUUUAUUAUUACCAUUAGUGAGUCCAUUUUAAGUUUAUGGGUCGGAUCUUUGAAUCCAAGGAGUCCGAGGUAUCUGGUCAAAUCAUUGACCAAGUUCAUCCUUAACUCUAAACACGCUACAUCUGAAAAUGGAUCAAAAGGAAGAUUGAAACAAUAAUGAUAAUCAAACAUUUCCAAAAGAAGGUGUUCAAAUACAUUUGAAUAUUAGAAUUACAUAUGAAUCAGACCAAAUACAUAAGCUAUUACAUUUGCAGAAUCAGAAAUCCUAAAAAAGUAAAUCAAAUCAAAUCUCAAAAAUCCUAAGCUAAUCAAUCAAUUUAAUUCUAAACCUAAUUUUCUAACCUAUAAGUAACCUAAGAUUAUAGAAGAAAAGGAAAAAAUAUAAGAACCCUACAACUGAUGCGAUCCAUAAACCCUUCAUUAAAGCUCCGAACUUUUGAUACUUAGGGUUUUCACAUUGAAACCCUAAGUCAUAAGAGCUUAGUCUAGAGCCUAUUUCUAGUGGUACCUUGCAAUCAGAGAAGAAGAAGAGGGAGCUAGAGGAAGUUCAGACCAAAAAAUAAAAAAGGAAUUUAAAUUAAAGAAAUGUUUACCUUACUAGAGAGAGCCUCAUCCAUGUAGGUUGGUGGAUAUUGGCAUUUUCUUGGUUGUUGUUUCCUGCUUGCGUUUAAAUCUUAUGUUAUUGCUUGCUUUUGAUUUAUGUUAUUGUGAAUAGUGUUAGGGUUUCGGUUUAUGAAUUUAGGGUUUUGAAAGUUUUGUUUGGAUUUGUUGUUUCUAAUGCUUGAUUGGGGAUUAAGAGGUUAUGAUCUAUGGUUUACUGUUGUUUGUAUUAUGUUUGGGUUUCAUUUGGGGAAUUUCUGGAAAAUUAGGGUUAUGGUUGGAGGUUGAUGAUGAAGAUUCAUCAUGUUCAUGAUGAACAUAAUGAAGAAUCUAAGUAGGUUAUGAAGGUCGCAUGUUAGGGUUCCUUCUGUAUGGUAGAUUGGGGUUAGGGUUCCUUCAGUUUGGGGUUAGGGUUCAUCACCUAGGGAUAAGGUUCAUGCUAAUUGGGGUUGGGGUUAUUAGUUUUAAGGGUUAUGGGUUGAGACAAUGAAGGUUUGAAGUUUCUAGUUGAAGUUCAACCGGAAAGUAGUGUUUGGGGGUGGUUCUUGGGGUGGUGAAGGAUGGGCGGAAAGAGUAUGGAGAAGACAGAGGGGAGGAGUAGAGAGAGAUAAAAAGAGAAGAGAGAGAAAAGGAAAAUGGAAACAAUCCAUUUCUGAAGGGUUUGAGCUUUUAUACGCCCU
rnacentral:lncRNA from 1 species